rnacentral:rRNA from 1 species
UUCCUUUAGUAUGAAUUAAAGGUAGUACCUGCCCCCUGCUAAGUAAAGGGCCGCAGUAUUUUGACUGUGCAAAGGUAGCAUAAUCAUUUGUUUUUUAAUUAGAAACUGGAAUGAAAGGUUUAAUAAGGAUUAAAUUUAUUGGAAGAAAAAUUUGAAUUUAAUUUUAGAAUAAAAAAGUUCUAAUAAAAUUGUGGGACGAUAAGACCCUAUUAAGCUUAAUAUUAGCUUUAUAUAUCUAAAGACAUCUAGUUAUAGAAGAAAAUAUUUUACUGGGGUGGUAAAAAAACAUUUAUUAAAAAGAAAAUUAGGAGCCAUUAUUAAUGCCAAUAAGAUAAAGUUACUAUAGGGAUAACAGCAUAAUUUCUUUUAAGAGUUCUUAUCAAUGAAGAAGAUUAUGACCUCGAUGUUGAAUUAAUUUUACCUUUUGAUGGAGUUGUUAAAAAGGUUAGUCUGUUCGACUAAUAAAAAGUUACA